rnacentral:rRNA from 1 species
UACGUAGGUGGCAAGCGUUGUCCGGAUUUACUGGGCGUAAAGAGCGCGCAGGCGGUCGUGCAAGUCGCGUGUGAAAGCCCCCGGCUCAACUGGGGAGGGUCACGCGAUACUGCUCGACUCGAAGGCAGGAGAGGGAAGUGGAAUUCCCGGUGCAGUGGUGAAAUGCGUAGAUAUCGGGAGGAACACCAGUGGCGAAGGCGACUUCCUGGCCUGUUCUUGACGCUGAGGCGCGAAAGCUAGGGUAGCAAACGGG